rnacentral:rRNA from 1 species
GACGAACGCUGGCGGCGUGCCUAAUGCAUGCAAGUCGAGCGGGCUACAGUCUUCGGAUUGUAGCUUAGCGGCGAACGGGUGAGUAACACGUAGGUAAUCUACCCUUCAGAGGAGGACAACCUCAGGAAACUGAGGCUAAACCUUCAUACGUUCACUGGUAGGGAUACUGGUGAAGAAAGAGUUACCGUUGAGGUGGCUGCUGAAGGAUGAGCCUGCGGCCCAUCAGGUAGUUGGUGAGGUAACGGCUCACCAAGCCGAAGACGGGUAACCGGUCUGAGAGGAUGUCCGGUCACACUGGGACUGAGACACGGCCCAGACUCCUACGGGAGGCAGCAGCAGGGAAUCUUGGGCAAUGGGCGAAAGCCUGACCCAGCGACGCCGCGUGGAGGAAGAAGUCCUUCGGGGCGUAAACGUCCUGGACUGGGGACGAGGAAGGACGGUACCCCGAGUAGAAAGGGAACGGCUAACUAACGUGCCAGCAGCCGCGGUAAAAUAAGCGUAACU